UGCUCAUAGUGUAGUGGUUUGAGUGUAGGGCUAGGACCCCUGAAGACCAGGGUUCGAAUCCCCACUCAGCCA